rnacentral:SRP_RNA from 2 species
GCUGGGCGUGGUGGCUCACGCCUGUAAUCCCAGCACAUUGGGAGGCCGAGGCAGGCGGAUCACCUGAGGUCGGGAGUUUGAGACUAGCCUGACCAACAUGGAGAAACCCUGUCUCUA